AAUAUAUAUGUGAUAUAUAUGAAUGUAUAUAUGAUAUAUUAAUUUUGGAAAUGAAAAGAAUACUUCUUCGUUAAAGUUAUGACUUUAAACAUUCUAUGACGAUAGAAUGUAUAUGGGAGACAUAGUCUAUAUAUAUGGGAUAGAAAUCUAUAAUGAUAGAUUUUUUUAGGAUAUAAUUGGAUUAUAUCAAUUCCUAAUAAUAGACAAAAGAUGCUAGGUAGUUUCUCAUAUGAUGAUAAACUUCAAAUAGAAGGAUGACUCUAGUGUGACUAGCAAGUUGCCCUUCUCAAAGGGAACGUGCCCUUUUUAACUCCCAAAGAAAUAAUGCGUAAAUAGAAUCCUUUAUGCAUACACAUAAAGGUGAUUUAUGUAUUUCAUAUUGUAUGAAAAACAUUGAUAUGAGUUGUACCUAGAACGGUACAAGAUGAUAUCAGAUCAAAACCAUGGCAACUGUCAAGUGAGUCCUUAAGUAUUUAAGAAAUACUAAAGGAUAAAUUCCUCAAAGAUCGAGGA
rnacentral:lncRNA from 1 species